rfam:Octopus bimaculoides Scaffold931_contig_290, whole genome shotgun sequence.
AUAUACAUAUACAUAUAUAUACUAAAAUUCAAACGAUACAGAGAAGAUUAGCAUGGCCCCUGCACAAGGACGACACAGAAGUUCGUGAAUCGUUCCAUAUUGGC